CCUACGGGAGGCAGCAGUAGGGAAUUUUCCACAAUGGGCGAAAGCCUGAUGGAGCAACGCCGCGUGGGUGAAGAAGGUCUUCGGAUCGUAAAACCCUGUUGUUAGAGAAGAAAGUGCGUGAGAGUAACUGUUCACGUUUCGACGGUAUCUAACCAGAAAGCCACGGCUAACUACGUGCCAGCAGUCGCGGUAAUACGUAGGUGGCAAGCGUUAUCCGGAUUUAUUGGGCGUAAAGGGAACGCAGGCGGUCUUUUAAGUCUGAUGGGAAAGCCUUCGGCUUAACCGGAGUAGUGCAUUGGAAACUGGGAGACUUGAGUGCAGAAGAGGAGAGUGGAACUCCAUGUGUAGCGGUGAAAUGCGUAGAUAUAUGGAAGAACACCAGUGGCGAAAGCGGCUCUCUGGUCUGUAACUGACGCUGAGGUUCGAAAGCGUGGGUAGCAAACAGGAUUAGAUACCCGAGUAGUC
rnacentral:rRNA from 1 species